CGGAGCAACGCCGCGUGAACGAUGAAGGCCUUCGGGUCGUAAAGUUCUGUUGUUAGGGAAGAACAAGUACCAGAGUAACUGCUGGUACCUUGACGGUACCUAACCAGAAAGCCACGGCUAACUACGUGCCAGCAGCCGCGGUAAUACGUAGGUGGCAAGCGUUGUCCGGAAUUAUUGGGCGUAAAGCGCGCGCAGGCGGUUUCUUAAGUCUGAUGUGAAAGCCCACGGCUCAACCGUGGAGGGUCAUUGGAAACUGGGGAACUUGAGUGCAGAAGAGGAGAGUGGAAUUCCACGUGUAGCGGUGAAAUGCGUAGAGAUGUGGAGGAACACCAGUGGCGAAGGCGACUCUCUGGUCUGUAACUGACGCUGAGGCGCGAAAGCGUGGGGAGCGAACAGGAUUAGAUACCCUGGUAGUCCACGCCGUAAACGAUGAGUGCUAAGUGUUAGAGGGUUUCCGCCCUUUAGUGCUGCAGCAAACGCAUUAAGCACUCCGCCUGGGGAGUACGGUCGCAAGACUGAAACUCAAAGGAAUUGACGGGGGCCCGCACAAGCGGUGGAGCAUGUGGUUUAAUUCGAAGCAACGCGAAGAACCUUACCAGGUCUUGACAUCCUUCGCUACUUCUAGAGAUAGAAGGUUCCCCUUCGGGGGACGAAGUGACAGGUGGUGCAUGGUUGUCGUCAGCUCGUGUCGUGAGAUGUUGGGUUAAGUCCCGCAACGAGCGCAACCCUUGAUCUUAGUUGCCAGCAUUCAGUUGGGCACUCUAAGGUGACUGCCGGUGACAAACCGGAGGAAGGUGGGGAUGACGUCA
rnacentral:rRNA from 2 species